GUUGUUUUUUUUCCUCCUCUCUCUCUCUCUCUCUCUCUCUCUCUCUCUCUCUCUCUCUCUCUCUCUCUCUCUCUCUCCUCUCUCUCUCUCUCCUCCUCUCUGUUCUUUCUUUCUCGCAGAAGAAAUGCGGCUCUUUAUUUUUGCAGAAUCAGACGGGAAGCGGCUGGACUCCAGUAAGGAUCUUUUUUUUAUUUCAAAUAUUCAAACUGCAGACUUUGAUUUAUUGAACAUGUUUAUUUACGUAUCAGCGCACCUGCGUUGCGUCACCUGGAUGCCAGGUGCGCCUCCAGGUAUUUUUACCGCAUGCAGAAAUUCAGCCAGAAACUGUGCAAACUUUGCUGAUAUCUUGGCGCAAUUAAUGCGGAGGAAUUUGAGAAAGUGUAAAAGUGGGUGAAAUGUGGAAGUGGAGCGUGUGCGCGGCGCGGCGCGGCGCGGCGCGCGGCGCGGCAGGCUCCACCUUUGCGGCGUCCUGAUUGGUUAUGUAAAUAAAGCGUUAUUGUGUCCGGUCCUCCUGCAGCUCCGCACUGUAUGGAGAAUAAAAUCAUCAAUCAAAUCGGGAACCAAACAGAUCGAAGCCCCGAAAACUAAACAGGAGAAAAUUUAUUUUAACUUUUUAAAAAUAUUGCUUCCAAAAGGAGCUUCAUUUAGUUUAUUUGGUUGAUUUAUUAAAUGAAUUAGUUUUUAUGUGUUUCUUCCUUUUUCCCUUUGUCUGUAGGUGCGAGCAGAGGCUCAAAUAAGGGGCGGGGGCCAGAGGGCAGCAGUGGCCACCUUCUGCCCCCCAACCAGAAAUAAAUAAUACUUUAUUUAAAAGAAGAAAAUCAAUUCUGCAACUUUUAAGUAUUUAUUUAGUCUUUUAGAGGAGUGAUGUCACUGAAAUAUAUCUUUUAAAAAGCAAAGAUCAGAUUUAUUUAUUUAUUAGUAAUUAUAAUUUAUGUUUUUGUCAUUAGAGCCAUUAACAAGCUGCAACAUCUAUUUAUUAUCUUGGAUGUAUUUUUUUUCCUGCUGCUGUUUGAUUUCACCAAACUAAAAAUACCCUGAAUGCAUCGUUUUAAUAUUUCGUCUGCAGCAGCAGGACUUGCAUCCUCGGUGUGUUUUGGGUUUUAUUUUACAUUUUCUUCUUUUCUCUUCUUAAAUGUUUUCAUCCAAAACAAAGAGGAUGAGGAGGAGGAGCGUCUGUCCUGGAUGCAGUCCUGGCUGAAUUAUCGUCAUGCGUAAUUUACUGCCACGGAGCGCGCAUCGUUGAGCCUUGCAGGCGGCGCUGCAGAGAGGCAGCAGGGAUGCUGCUGCGCUGUCUCCUCGCUGGAGUUCAGCUCCUGUUUUCCAGCUCGGGUUACGCAGCUGCUGCUCUGCCACGGAGUGAGUCGGCAGCAGAAACUCGACGAGACGCGGCUUCAGGAUCUAAACGACGAGCCGCGUCGCAGCACCUGCUGCAAACAGCUUGGAUUCGGCACAUUUCGCCCAUUUCUUGCUGCGGUUUGAGUCGGAACCGGCCUGGAUUCGGACCCAGAGACGGGAUGCCGACGCACAGCGAGCCUCGGGGUCUGAGCUCGGUUCUACUCGUUGUGCAUCCAGCAGCUCAGCCGCCAGGCGUCCCUGAUUAUUGGCCUAAUUUAGAUCUGAGAGUCACGUGACGACGCAGAGCAUCCAGCCGUGAAUUCAGGCUCCGUCCUGUCAGGAGAAAUCAGAUGCUUCUCCCAAACCUGUUGCGAGACGGAGAAGAGGAUUUUGCAUAAAAGAAUUCCUCAGAAAUGCAAAAUAUUUCCACUCAGUCGUGGUUUAAUCCUGGAUGAGGAUUUAGACGGGAAAAUGUUUCUGGCUUCCAGAUUCGUUUAAACACACAUGAGGCAACGCUUCGCCCUCCAAUCUGAUCCCUUUCCAAGCAAAACAAUGAUUCAGCUUCUCCAGAUUCACAGAUCCGACUGUUCUUCAGCCAGAUACCGAUCUGAUUGGAUCCGAUCGGUUCUGAUCUGAUCGGUUCUGAUCAGGCAGGACCUUUUGGGUCAUGACAUCAACUAAAAAUGGGUCAAAAGUUACAUUUAAUUCACCUUUUUAUGUUCCUAGAGAGAUAAAAAGGUGAACAACAUGAAGAAGUUUCAGGUAAAUUUCUGUUAAUUUACAACAAAACUAAAAUAAACAACUCAACAUAAAAUCUUUGAUUUACACAAUUACAAAGAAUAAAACUGAGGUAACAAAUUAUUUCCUCAAUUUACAGUUUGCAAAUCCUGGAUUUAGUUUUUAUAAAGUAUAAUUAAAACCUUUUAAUUGAUUAUACAUUUUCAGUACCUCUGCAGAUAAAUUGAAAUUAUGUAUAAUUACUCAUUUUAAGCAACUUUAUAAGUAAAUAUAGAGGAUAAUUUGGCGUCGUUUACCAAGCGAUGUGGUAAAACACAACUUUGAAUUCUUUAAUUUGCUCCAAACUGUUUCUUAACACACUAAUGUCACCAUAAAGUUAGUAAAAUGGAGCUUAAGCAACAAACAGUGAACUAUAAAACCAAUAAAAAACUAAUAUUACAGCAAAUUAUCACAACCGAAUGCUGCAGAUUCCUCUUUUUAAUUCUUAUAACAACUUUACAGUCAACACAUUUUUAUUAUAUUCUAGAAUAUGAUGCAGUACAUUCUAUCACUUCACAUGAAGUGAAUUAAACUAACUUAAUUUUACGUUCAUCUAAAUUAUGGAGUCAACAUGGAAACGUAAAUAUAGAGAAUACAUUCCUGCAGCUUUACGCUCAAAUUACAGAAAAAGUUGUAUAAUUUACUGCAAACCACUUGAAUUUGUGCUUUAAUCUACAAGAAGAAAUCAGAAUAAGGAGCAAUUAUUGAUCAAUUUUAUAAAAUAAUACAGGAAAUUAUGUCAAAAGGAAACAGAAAACUGCAGUUCAGUUCUUGUUUAAUUAAAAAAACUAAACAUUUAGUUGGAUUUGUUGCUUUGAACACUGCGCAGAUUUCUCUAAAAGCUGAUAUUAAAAAUAAAAAUUAUAGUUUUUAACCAAAAUGAAUCAGAAUCUCAGUGAGGCAAAGAUAAAGUCAAAGCUCUUAAAACAAACAAAUAUAUUAAUAAAUAUAUUUGUACUUGAAAUUGUAUUAUGAUAUUUUGUAGUAGUAUUGUGAACACUAUAAGAAAUGAUCAUAAAAAAGUAUUUAUUGCUAAUUUAUUCAGUUUAGUGUGGAUGUGAUAAACACAAAUACAAACAUUUCCAGUUGUAUUGUGAUUAAAAAUGUGAUUUACGUCACUAAGCUGCAACUUAUUUUAAUCAUUUUUCUAUUUUAUUGAUAUUUAUAGAUACUCUGAUGAAACAAACUGUUUAAUCAGAGUUUAAACGUCAUUAAGUAGAAUUCAUCCAAUGACAAGGAAUUUAUCGCGAUAAAUGAUACACGAUAAGAUAAAUGAUCAUUUCCACAAUUUUUGUAAAACAUUUAACGCCUAACAGAUAGUUUGAGUCAUUAAUUAGAUUUUUUUGUGACGAUGACAAAUCAAAAUUUCUAUCAUGACAAAAAUGUAUCGCAAUAAAUGAUAAACGAUAAAUAAUUAACAAUAUAAAACAUUUAAAAGACAAAUCAAGUCUCAGUAACAGUUAUUUGAAGAUAUCUGCAAAAAGUCAAAUUAGGAUUUAAUUUGUGAAUCAAAUUCAAAUUAAAAAAGCUCUAAUGGAGACGAAACGCCGGCCUAGUUCAAUCACAUGUAUUUGUUUACCUUUAAGAUCACAGAACCCCAGAGUUUUCAGUUCCUGCACUUUAUCAUUUGGUUCUGGGAAUAUGAGAAGUUUUAAGGACUGAAAGUUUUCACGGAGUAAAUACCAAUUAUCACGACUUUUUGUGAUGCAGAAGCCAAACGCAGCCGAUCUGACCGCAGAUAAAACCGGCAGGGAGGGACAGUUUGCAAAUCUACUCCUACGAUUCAAAGCAGCUGUCAAGCGGCUGCAGCUCAGCCUCUCGAGUGUUAAACCCUCAGCAAACAGUUUGUGUGUUUCAGCCCUGAGAGCAACUUUUCUGCUCUUUUUCAAAUUAAAGUAACGGUUGUUGUUCAGACGGAUCGCGUCUCCUCCUCGCUCUCGUUUGGAACAUCAAAACUCGGCGUCUCUCGGCGGGGCUCGGCUCUGUGAUGACCACGCCACAAAAACACCAGAGAAUGACGGACAAUUAAAGAACGAGAGGCGAAGGCUGGACUCUGUGAAAACAUGCAAAACGAAUCUGGUUUACAUUGGCCACCAGCGAGGGAGAGGCAGAGGAGAGACGCUCGCUUCUCUGAGCAGUUUUGAUCUCACUCAGUUGGGGAAGAAAGCUCGCCAGGAGAACAAGAACGCUGCAGAAACAAAUGAUCACUGCAAAAAAAGUAUUGAUUUUCAUGUUGUUCUUGUUAGCUGAAAACUGAGCCGAGGCUUCUACAAAUGACCACUUAUCCAACCGAGGCUCUUGUAAAACAGACAAACAUACGAUGUGUUUUCUUUCCUGUAAAAAGAGGUCAGAUGCUUUGUGGUUUCUAAAGCAUCCACUGAAUAAAACUCACUUUCUUUUUUACUUCUUUCGCUGUGAGUACCUCAGAUCCAGAUGUUUGAGUUGUUUUUGUCGUCUCUGGCAAUGUGAGCAAUCAAUAUUCAGAAAAUAACCAUCAAAUUCAAACGCUUGGUUAGUUACAUGGAGUUCAUGGCUGAUAUCCAAAAAUAAAUGAUUCCUGUUGCAAUCGUU